rnacentral:SRP_RNA from 1 species
CCGUGCUAGACGGGGGGUUCGGGGUCCCCUACACCGGAAACCCUCGACACGCCGGGUUGAAUGUUCGUCUGCGGCUUCUGAAGGACCGGGCAGCCCCCGGUGAGCAGUGUUGAUGGUCGGGUCCUACGCGACUCGGAGCCGUGAAUCAGGUCAGGCCCGGAAGGGAGCAGCCUUAAGCGGUGUCCCGGGUGUGCCGUCUGGAUCGCCCGCCCGGAGCAAGCUGCCGGGCCAGCGCCGGCCACUCAGGAGUCCAGGACGAACUGCACGG